AGAACCCCUUACAGUAUUAUAGACACUAUGUCCUGGGAUUUACUAUGUAGAAGAACCCCUUACAUAUUAUAGACACUAUGUCCUGGGAUUUACUAUGUAGAAGAACCCCUUACAGUAUUAUAGACACUAUGUCCUGGGAUUUACUAUGUAGAAGAACCCCUUACAGUAUUAUAGACACUAUGACCUGGGAUUUACUAUGGUCUAUGUAGAAGAACCCCUUACAGUCUAACAACUGUUGUUGUGUAGCAUCAUAGAGCAAAACAUGUCACAUGUUCGUGAGAGUGUCAGCUGUUCAGAUUUAGCUUUUAAUAGUUUGCAGCUCUGACCAAUCAAAACUCCAGAGACAUUUUUAAUAGUUUGAUGCUCUGACCAAUCGGACUCUAGAGACAUUUUCUAUACAGCUCCGGCUCAUCUCUCAUUGAUCAGACUAAUGGCUGGUAUCUAUGGAGACAUAUGAAAUAGACCAACCCAAUGGCACAUUCUCAAACACACACUGUUUAAACCCCCUAGAGUCGAUUUCUGCUUAGCCAGUGUAAUUAACAUUUAUAUAACCCCCAUCAAAAUCAGUCAGUUAAAGUUAGAGAUAUCUGAUACACAGUUAAAGUCGAAAGUUUACAUACACCUUAGCCAAAUAUAUUUAAACUCAGCUUUUCUGAGAAAUGUGUGCAGUGGUUUAAAAACGAGUUUUAAUGACUCCAACCUAGUAAGUGUACGUAAACUUCCGACUUCAACUGUAUUUUGCAAUUGGACGCGUUUCAAUCCACCGUAUCUGCCAAAUUCGCACUUCCGCAUCUCCGCUGAAAGAUGUUUGUCAGAUCAUGAGGACUGGCCACCCCCUCAUAGCCUGGUUCCUCUCUAGGUUUCUUCCUAGGUUCCUGGCCUUUCUAGGGAGUUUUUCCUAGCCACCCCCUCAUAGCCUGGUUCCUCUCUAGGUUUCUUCCUAGGUUCCUGGCCUUUCUAUGGAGUUUUUCCUAGCCACCCCCUCAUAGCCUGGUUCCUCUCUAGGUUUCUUCCUAGGUUCCUGGCCUUUCUAUGGAGUUUUUCCUAGCCACCGUGCUUCUACACCUGCAUUGCUUGCUGUUUGGGGUUUUAGGCUGAGUUUGUGUACAGCACUUUGAGACAUCAGCUGAUGUAAGAAGGGCUUUAUAAAAACAUUUGAUUGAUUGAUGAGUCAUCCUGAAAAUCCGUCUUCUUAGUAAAUCGUCUGUAGUGUCUGUUUUGCUCUACGACACCGCAAGAGUCUUUCGACUCAUCUUAAUCCAAUCUGUCAGCUUCUUUCUGUAGCGUCUGAACAGUUUUGGCUACACAUUAAUAUGACCCCCCCCUCCCCCCCUCCCCUCCCCUCCCCCCUCUGUGGAAAGGUGAGACUCUCACCAAUACAUGUUGUUUGUUUUGCUCUCGGACGCCCAUAGGCCUCACAAUACUCAUUUUGAAGGUUCCCCUGGUACCAGUUGUAAAAACAUUAAAUGGGAAGUAAACUGUAGACGCCGUGUCAUCUUGUAACUCUACAUCAAACAUAGUGAGCAUUAACGUUGACACAGUGUUUGUGACAUACGUGUUAUGCUUUGUGAACUGCGCAUUUGGACUCUCUUGCUUGUGUGACAUCAAAGGGGUAUUUAUGACAUCAGUGUUCAGGAAUGUGUUCGCUUCUAAAAAUGUCUUAAUAGUAUAAAGUAUAUUUUUGUAUUAUGUUUUUAUGUUUGAAUGUUGUACAUGUUAUGAAUUGUGUUUAUGCAGGACUUCCUUGAAAAAUAGGUAUUGUUCUCAAUUGGACUGCCUGUUAAAAUAUUAAAAUAAAGGUGACAUUUUAAAAACAAAAAUACUAUUUACUUGUCAAAAUACCUUUGAUGUAUAGAGGGAG
rnacentral:lncRNA from 1 species